CGUAGGGACCAAGCGUUGUUCGGAUUUACUGGGCGUAAAGGGGUCGCGUAGGCGGCGUGACAAAGUCCAGUUGUGGAAAUCUCCGAGCGUUAACUCGGAACGGUCAACUGAUACUGUUGUGCUAGAGUACAGAAGGGGCAAUCGGAAUUCUUGGUGUAGCGGUGAAAUGCGUAGAUAUCAAGAGGAACACCUGAGGUGAAGACGGGUUGCUGGGCUGAUACUGACGCUGAGGCGCGAAAGGCUAGGGUAGCAAACGGGAUUAGACUACCCCGGUAGUCCUAGCCCUAAACGAUGAAUACUUGGUGUCGUGGAAUAUUAUUUUUCCGGGUGCCGUCGCUAACGUUUUAAGUAUUCCGCCUGGGGAGUACGGCACGCAAGUGUAG
rnacentral:rRNA from 1 species